rnacentral:rRNA from 1 species
GAUGAACGCUGGCGGCGUGCCUAAUACAUGCAAGUCGAGCGAACAGACGAGGAGCUUGCUCCUCUGACGUGAGCGGCGGACGGGUGAGUAACACGUGGAUAACCUACCUAUAAGACUGGGAUAACUGCGUGAAACCGGAGCUAAUACCGGAUAAUAUAUUUAAGCGCAUUGUUCAGUAGGGGAAGGCGGUUGUGCUGGCACGGAUAGAGGUAGCGGCGUCGCAUUAGCUAGGUGGGAAGGUAACGGGUUACCAAGGCAACGGUGCGUAGGCGAGCUGAGGGGGUGAUCGGCCACACUGGAAUGGAGACACGGUCCAGCCUCCUACGGGACGCAGCAGUAGGGAAUCUUACGCAAUGGGCGAAAGCCUAACGGAGCACCGCCGCGUGAGGGAUGAAGGUCUUCGCAUCGUAAUACUCUGUUAUUAGGGCAGAACAACUGUGUAAGUAACUAUGCACGUCUUGACGGUACCUAAUCAGAAAGCCACGGCUAACUACGUG